ACCCGAUAACGUCCUUGGACCAAAGGUGUGAUUCCGCCUGAGGAUGAGUCUACUUCCUAUUAGCUAGUUGGUGGGGUAAUGGCCUACCAAGGCAACGAUGGGUAGCAGGUGUGAGAGCACGACCUGCCUCAUUGGGACUGAGACACUGCCCAGACACCUACGGGUGGCUGCAGUCGAGAAUCUUCGGCAAUGGACGAAAGUCUGACCGAGCGACGCCGCGUGCGGGAUGAAGGCCUUCGGGUUGUAAACCGCUGUCGUAGGGGAACAAGUUUAUGGGGGUUAUCCCCUGUAAUUGAGUGAUCCUAGGAGGAAGGGGAGGCUAAGCUCGUGCCAGCAGCCGCGGUAAGACGAGCUCCCCAAACGUUAUUCGGUAUCACUGGGCUUAAAGAGUUCGUAGGCGGUCUGGUAGGUGAGGUGUGAAAUCCCCCGGCUCAACCGGGGAACUGCGCUUCAAACCACUUGACUU
rnacentral:rRNA from 1 species